rnacentral:rRNA from 1 species
GAAGAACGCUAGCGGCAGGCCUAACACAUGCAAGUCGAGGGGCAGCACAGAAACAGCAAUGCUUUGGUAGCGAACGGCGGACGGGUGCGUAACGCGUAUGCAAACUACCUUUAACAGGGGGAUAACGGAGAGAAAUUUCCACUAAUACCCCAUAACAUCGAUCAAGGCAUAUUGAUUGGUUGAAAACUCCGGUGGUUAAAGAUGGGCAUGCGUUGUAUUAGGUAGUUGGUGAGGUAAUGGCUCACAAAGCGUACGAUACAUAGGGGGACUGAGAGGUUAGCCCCCCACACUGGUACUGAGACACGGACCAGACUCCUACGGGAGGCAGCAGUGAGGAAUAUUGGUCAAUGGGGGCAACCCUGAACCAGCCAUGCCGCGUGCAGGAAGACGGCUCUAUGAGUUGUAAACUGCUUUUAAACAGGGAUAAAGCACAGUAUGUAUACUGUGUUGAAGGUACUGUAAGAAUAAGGAUCGGCUAACUCCGUGCCAGCCGCCGCAGUAA